CUCAACUUUGGCCAAUGUGAACUGAACAGCAUAUCUUUCCAGGAGCUAAGAGACCAUUUUGAUGCCAUCAGAGAACAUGUUCAAAGUCAAGAUAACAGGACAGAUGUUGUACUGUUGAAUGAAAGUGUCCUACAUGAAGUCAUGAUGUCAGAGAGUUGCUGCUUACUCCGUCACCUGCUGAGGUUUUACAUUGAAAGAAUUUUCAAACACUAUG